CCUACGGGAGGCAGCAGUGAGGAAUAUUGGUCAAUGGGCGCGAGCCUGAACCAGCCAAGUAGCGUGAAGGAUGCCUGCCCUACGGGUUGUAAACUUUUUUUAUAAAGGAAUAAAGUGAGGCACGUGUGCCUUUUUGUAUGUACUUUAUGAAUAAGGAUCGGCUAACUCCGUGCCAGCCGCCGCGGUAAUACGGAGGAUCCGAGCGUUAUCCGGAUUUAUUGGGUUUAAAGGGAGCGUAGAUGGGUUGUUAAGUCAGUUGUGAAAGUUUGCGGCUUAACCGUAUAAUUGCAAUUGAUACUGGCAGCCUUGAGUACAGUUGAGGUAGGCGGAAUUCGUGGUGUAGCGGUGAAAUGCUUAGAUAUCACGAAGAACACCAAUUGCGAAGGCAGCCUACUAAACUGCAACUGACAUUGAUGCUCGAAAGUGUGGGUAUCAAACAGGAUUAGAUACCCUUGUAGUC
rnacentral:rRNA from 1 species